GAUCAAAAAAGAAGAUAAAAGGACGAAUCGGGUCAGCAGUAGAAAACAGAAUACUUACCUUAGAUAAGUGGGUCAACUUGAGAUGUUCAGCUCGUCGUACUCCGACAGACGACUAUAUGAGAACAAGCGCUAUGAAAACAACCGCUGCAAGGUUUCGUAGAUGUCAUACGUAGUUGUAACUACGUAGCUAUUCAGUUAAAAUUACCAGUCCGUUACAAACCACUAUACGAACCUGUUCUUUCUUAGUAGGCUUUGACAUUGCUUUUUCCUUGUAAGAUAUAAGUUCUUGUUGCAAUUUUCUAAAGUAAAAUCGUCGCUAUGAUUGAA